GUCAUCGGGAAUAGGAAGUCAUCCGAGAGGGCUUCUUCCGGCUACGAUCAUAGGACACAAAGGACAAAACAUUACAUGAACAUUACAUGAACAUUACAUGACACUUUCAGUGUAUUUAUAGUAGCAAAAUUUAAUAGAAUUAUGGCAGGCAGCAAAAAAUACACACAUAUCUACAAAUAUACAGGCCAUUAAUAUGUAUGUAUUAAUCUGUAAUAUAAUAAUAAAGAUAGAGAUUAUGCAAUGGUUAAGAUCUAUAAAUAUAUACAUAGAUCUAAUUUUAUUAAUAUAUUAAUUCAUGAGAAAAAUUUGGGCAUUUCAUAUUACAUUCAUAAUUUUGUGUUAAAUUCAUAUUAUAAAGUUAUUUUCUGAUUUGUUUGUGGCACAUAAAGACACUGUAUCCAAUAAUUUAUAUAAACGAUUAUAAACAAAGACCUUAACAUAUGUCAACAAAGACUUAACAAAUAAAUUUGUGUUAAAAGUUA